UACAUAACAGGAAGUAACAUUGAGGGA
rnacentral:piRNA from 1 species